rnacentral:rRNA from 1 species
AUGAUCCACUGUAGGCCAGUGGAGGUGGCAGUAAUGCUACACUUACGUAGAGAUAGUUACGUACUUCACGUAAUUAGCAACGUGGCUAAUGAUCAUUGGGGAAGGGGAGGAAGGGGCCCCACCCACCUGAAAAUCAGGAGGGGCAGAGAAGUAUAUUUAGAAAGAUUACGUAAACCCUUUCGUAGCUGUACGUGGAUAUAUAAUUCUCUGCCCACGAGGAGGUCGCCGGCGACCUCCUGCUCCUUCUGCCGCCGCCGCAUGGCGUGCGCGGUCUGGAGGCGGUCACGAAAGACGUGCUUUGUGAGCGACGGGAAGAAGGCGAAGACAGCCAUUUUCUUGGUGAUGUAG